rnacentral:rRNA from 1 species
AGAGUUUGAUCCUGGCUCAGAACGAACGCUGGCGGCGUGCCUAACACAUGCAAGUCGAACGCGAAAGGGGGCAACCCCCGGUAGCGUGGCAGACGGGUGAGUAACACGUGGGUAACCUACCCGGAGGUGGGGGAUAACCCUUCGAAAGGAGGGCUAAUACCGCAUGACAUCGCGAGGACCUCGGUUCUUGCGAUCAAAGCUGGCCUCUGUUUACAAGCUAGCGCCACCGGAGGGGCCCGCGCCCCAUUAGCUAGUUGGUGAGGUAACGGCUCACCAAGGCAACGAUGGGUAGCCGGCCUGAGAGGGCGACCGGCCACACUGGAACUGCGACACGGUCCAGACUCCUACGGGAGGCAGCAGUGAGGAAUCUUGCGCAAUGGGCGAAAGCCUGACGCAGCGACGCCGCGUGGAGGAUGAAGGUCUUCGGAUUGUAAACUCCUGUCGAGUGGGACGAAUGCCAUGAGGGUGAACAAUCCUCGUGGUUGACGGUACCGCUGGAGGAAGCCCCGGCUAACUCCGUGCCAGCAGCCGCGGUAAUACGGAGGGGGCCAGCGUUGUUCGGAAUCAUUGGGCGUAAAGGGCGCGUAGGCGGCCGAUCAAGUCGGAGGUGAAAUCCCUCGGCUCAACUGAGGAAUUGCCUCCGAUACUGUUCGGCUUGAGUCCUGGAGAGGGUAGUGGAAUUCCCAGUGUAGCGGUGAAAUGCGUAGAGACUGGGAAGAACACCAGUGGCGAAGGCGGCUACCUGGACAGGUACUGACGCUGAAGCGCGAAAGCUAGGGGAGCAAACAGGAUUAGAUACC